rnacentral:rRNA from 1 species
AGGACGAACGCUGGCGGCGUGCUUAACACAUGCAAGUCGAGCGCCCCGCAAGGGGAGCGGCAGACGGGUGAGUAACGCGUGGGAACAUACCCUCCGGUUCGGAAUAGCUCAGGGAAACUUGGAUUAAUACCGGAUACGGCCUAGCGGCGAAAGAUUCAUCGCCGGAGGAUUGGCCCGCGUCUGAUUAGCUAGUUGGUGGGGUAAUGGCCCACCAAGGCGACGAUCAGUAGCUGGUCUGAGAGGAUGAUCAGCCACAUUGGGACUGAGACACGGCCCAAACUCCUACGGGAGGCAGCAGUGGGGAAUAUUGGACAAUGGGCGCAAGCCUGAUCCAGCCAUGCCGCGUGAGUGAUGACGGCCUUAGGGUUGUAAAGCUCUUUCGCUAGGGACGAUAAUGACGGUACCUAGACAAGAACGCCCGGCUAACUUCGUGCCAGCAGCCGC